rnacentral:rRNA from 1 species
GAUGAACGCUGGCGGCGUGCCUAAUACAUGCAAGUCGAGCGAACAGACGAGGAGCUUGCUCCUCUGACGUUAGCGGCGGACGGGCGAGUAACACGUGGAUAACCUACCUAUUUUACUUGGAUAACUUCGGGAAACCGUUGCUUAUACCGUAUAAUCUAUUUAACCGCCUGGUUCAAUAGUUCAAGACGCUUUUGAUGUCACUUAUAGCAGUUUCCGCCCCCCAUUAGCAAGUUGGUAAGGUAAAGGCUUACCAAGGCAACGUUACCUGCCCGACCUGAUAGAAUGAUCGGCCACACUGGAACUGAGACAGGUUCCAUAUUCCUACGGGAGGCAGCAGUAUGGAAUCGUCCGCAAUGGGCGAAAGCCUGACGGAGCAAUCCCGCGUGAUUGAUGAAGUGCUUCGGUUUGUAAAACCCUUUUAUUAGGAAAGAACAAACGUGUAAGUAUAUAUGCCCGUUUUGACGGUACCUAACCAGGAAGCCACGGCUAACUACGUG